UGUGUGUGUGUGUGUGUGUGUGAACUAAUACAAUUUUUAGAUUUUACUGAUCACUGGGACUGACCUGAGCAGACACUUUUUUUAAAUAUAUGAAACAAGCUGUCACUGUCUGUAUGUCUGUACAUUUUUGCAUUGUUUAAUAAAGGUUUUGCCAUUGU